GGGUGCGGCGCCGGCCGGAAGCCGGCGCCGCAGGCAUCCGGAGCAGUCGGGCCGCUGCUU
ncrna:Anaeromyxobacter sp. Fw109-5 nhaA-I RNA